GAUGACUGUAGGUGAAAGCUUACAUCUCUUCGGAGCAUUUUACGAGGUGCUGCAUGGUUGUCGUCAGCUCGUGCCGUGAGGUGUCGGGUUAAGUCCCAUAACGAGCGCAACCCCUACCUUUAGUGCCAUCAGGUUAAGCUGGGGACUCUAAAGGAACUGCCUACGCAAGUAGUGAGGAAGGCGGGGAUGACGUCAAAUCAGCACGGCCCUUACGUCCAGGGCUACGCACGUGCUACAAUGGCCGAUACAGAGGGCAGCUACCUGGUGACAGGAUGCAAAUCUCCAAAGUCGGUCUCAGUUCGGAUCGGAGUCUGCAACCCGACUCCGUGAAGUUGGAUUCGCUAGUAAUCGCGCAUCAGCCAUGGCGCGGUGAAUACGUUCCCGGGCCUU
rnacentral:rRNA from 1 species